GCCUGGGUGGCUCAGUUGGGUUAAGCGUCUGACUUCAGCUCAGGUCAUGAUCUCAAGGCUUGUGGGUUUGAGCCCUGCGUCAGGCU
rnacentral:tRNA from 1 species